rnacentral:misc_RNA from 1 species
AAAUUUUCCGGGAAAAAUAAAAUCUGGAAAGGUAAAGAGAGAGUUUCGAUUAGGUUUUCGUGUUUUAUGUUCUGGCCCUCACUGUCUGUGAGAAAGAAAAAGAAAAAAAAAAAAAAAUUAACGUCGACCCAUUCGGGGAAAGAGAAAUAGAAACGGAACGGAGACGAUCUCAAAGCCUCAGCGCAUCAAAGGAACAAAGUAAAAAAUAUCAUUCUAUG